rnacentral:rRNA from 1 species
CAGCACCUCAAGUGGUCAGGAUGAUUAUUGGGCCUAAAGCAUCCGUAGCCGGCGCUGUAAGUUUUCGGUUAAAUCUGUACGCUCAACGUACAGGCUGCCGGGAAUACUGCAGCGCUAGGGAGUGGGAGAGGUAGACGGUACUCGGUAGGAAGGGGUAAAAUCCUUUGAUCUAUUGAUGACCACCUGUGGCGAAGGCGGUCUACCAGAACACGUCCGACGGUGAGGGAUGAAAGCUGGGGGAGCAAACCGGAUUAGAUACCGAGUAGUCC